rnacentral:tRNA from 1 species
GGGGGUAUAGCUCAGUGUAGAGCACAUACGUGGCAUGCACAAGGGCCUGGGUUCAAUGCCCACUACCUCUG